UCUUGCUUCUGGGAAAUUCUCUAGCUCUAUUCUGACCUUUUAUGGAUAUAACACAAGAUAUUAACUUUUCUAUAACCUGUGGUUUAUAAAACGAUCAAAUUGCAUAGAAUCUGUCAAGUCCUCGGGUGAGCUUUGCCUAAUUAUCCCCUCGGCUUCUUCCAUAUUGGCAAAUUGAGGAAAGGUGAUAAGAAGGGAUGCUAUGCUCCAGGGACCGGUUGUGGGCUUUGUACAGGUCCGGAGGAAGCAAUGAAGAAGUGGAGAGUUCUGGGAGCUCUGAGGCACGCUGACCUUCCCACCCAUGACUGAGCCAUUGAUGAGAUGCUCUGGGAAACCACUGAUCUGUAUUUGGCCCUUUGUCGUCUUCCUGGCUCACUGCAGCUCCAUGUAUAGAAUAGCUUGAUUUAUUGAUUGGAUGCAAGAGAUGUCGGUGAGGGAACAGAUCAACACCAGGUCAAGCCUCUGAACUGGUUUUGGAAUGACAGGACCCACACAUAUUUGGAGUGUAACAAAUUUUCACAGAAGAUAUUUUGGAAGAACUUCAGAAAAGAUGGAGAUGGCCAGAUGGGGCUCUGAAGUCAGGACUGGAGAUAAGAGAUCCAUGGAGUUGGAAAUGAAACUGGGAGUGAAUGAGAGGGCCAAGGAGAGAGGGAGGCGAGAAAAGGGCCGGGAACAAACCUUGGCGAACACCCCCCAUCCCCCCACUCCCACACAGACAGGCAGAAGAGACCUGUGAGUUCCCUCUAAGCCUACACUUUAUAGUGUUUAUUAAAUAAGUGAAUAUUGUGCUGCAUCUGUUGAGUGUUUUUGGUGUGAUUUUAAAAGUUGUUUUCCCAAUAUUGAAUUACCUUGCCUACUUGGUAUAAAUCCAAAUUUAUUAUAAUGAAUAAUUUCUGGGAUAAAGUGCUGUAAUUUUUUUUUUUUGCCAGAGCUGAUUUUAAAAUUUUGCAUCAGUAUUCAUUAUUUUUUGCUGAUCUGUAGUUUUCUUUCUUUUCUUUAUCCUUUCUUGGUUUGGUAUGAUUGAAGUCUUAGAGAGAAGGGACAGAAGGGCCACUGCUACUCUGUCUUUAUGGUUCAAUGUGUCCCCUGUUCUGGAGGGUCUCUCUAGAAAUAUCCCCUGCUCUUCUUGGAACAAAACUUGGAUGCCACAUGCUUUUUUCCUUCUUAGAAGGGUUCCAGACAGCUUUUCUACAAGACUGCCCAUCAGCAAACCUUCCU